AUUUUUGUAUUGCCGUCAAUGCAAAAAUGGAUCGUUUCUUCGCCACUUCCCUGGUGGGUAUUCCCAAAUUGCGAUUCGAAGAUGUGCAGAAGAUUGUGGAGACACACUCAGCAACACCACAGCCCAGGCUGACAAAGGGGUACAAGUUUUUUGUGGAGGAGUUUGUACACAAUUAUCAAGAUCACCCUGGAGGCUGUUGGACAACUGGGUCUCUCAGAGCUGUAGCUGUGCUGCGGGCAAAGGCUUCUGUAGCCAUAUAACCGCUCUGCUGUUCCAGACAGCGCAUUAUGUGCAGCUGGGCCUUGAUGUGGUUCCACCUUCCCUGGCCUGUACCAGUCAACCACAGAUGUGGCACCGACCUCGAACCCAUGUGUGCUGUUGUGUCCUCUGUUCAAAUCAUACACUUCAGUAUUUGUCUAGAGUAUAUGCAUUUCCUGUAUUGUUGUUCGCCUCAGGGAAUCCAUCCAGAGGCUGUGAGUGACCUGGUGGUGAAGAAACCCAAGUCGGUGGGGAAGACUGGAGUCAAGUCCACACUCUACAGAGCGUAUGCUGAGGGAAUAUCCAGCUUGGAGUUGGUACCAUCUCAGCUGUGCUGACCUGGAAGAUGUCAGCAAUGACCUGUUCUUUAAGGCCAGUUGCUACUCUA